rnacentral:rRNA from 1 species
AACGAACGCUGGCGGCGCGCUUAACACAUGCAAGUCGAACGAGAAGGCGUAGCAAUACGCUUGUACAGUGGCGAACGGGUGAGGAAUACAUGGGUAACCUACCCUCGAGUGGGGGAUAACCCGCCGAAAGGCGGGCUAAUACCGCGUACGCUUCCGAUCUUGCGGGAUCGGAAGGAAAGCUGUCCCUUGGGGAUGGCGCUCAAGGAUGGGCUCAUGUCCUAUCAGCUUGUUGGAGGGUAACGGCCUACCAAGGCAUCGACGGGUAGCUGGUCUGAGAGGACGAUCAGCCACACUGGCACUGCGACACGGGCCAGACUCCUACGGGAGGCAGCAGUGAGGAAUAUUGCGCAAUGGGCGAAAGCCUGACGCAGCGACGCCGCGGUGGGGGAGU